rnacentral:rRNA from 1 species
GGUUGCGAUCAUACCAGCACUAAUGCACUAGAUCCCAUCAGAACUCCGCAGCUAAGCAUGCUUGGGCGAGAGUAGUACUAGGAUGGGUGACCCCCUGGAAGUCCUCGUGUUGCAACCC